GCCCUGGUAGCUCAGGGGAUAGAGCAACCGCCUCCUAAGCGGUAGGUCGCAGGUUCGAUUCCUGCCCAGGGCGCCA
rnacentral:tRNA from 1 species